GCAGCACGUCCGUCUCCAUUCCCGAGUCACAGAGACAGUGACAUAUUUAUCCAAUAACACUGCGGUUACAGACACAAAUUUGCUUCGAAUUUGUUAUUUGUUGUCUGAAGGGAAAGAAAGAGUUCUGCAUGCGCUGAAGAACUCAUGGACGUAUUGUUAUGAUGUUCCCUUCAUAAGCUGGAAGGAAAAGACAGACACACAAAGCUUUGUGUGUGAAUACAGAAAACGAAGGUUAAAGUUCUGACGCCACUGCUUUUCUACACUCGAACCCCCAAAAACAAACAAACGGAACUGCAGGAGGAGACGGAGCAGCACAAAUGUGACACUGACAAGCAAAAUAACAAGACAAAUCCAAUCAGCUCGGACCGUUCUGCCUGACCCUGCAUUACGGCACGAUGCUACAAAAGUACCAUCAGUCUCAGCUACACACACAUCCUGCCACGUGGAUAAAGACACACUGCAGCCAGUAAAGCCAUGGAGCGCCACUUGAACUCACCAGAGAAGAAGUUCUUAGCACGUAGAUAACUGACACUCAGCCGCAGGAUGGAGAGUUUGUCCAGGCUGCUCGUGACCUCCUCUGGAAACGGAAGGAGACUGGCCAACCGGUCCAACUCAGAAUUUAACCGAUCUCGAUGACGUUUGGACGGGUUAGACUUCACCCCUUCAGCUGAAGCCUGCUUCACCCUGAGCACAAGAGCACACUUCAUAAAAAAAACACUCCUCAAGAUCACAUUCAGCAGUGUUUUUCACAUGCAAGGUGUGUUUAGACAGAAUCACGGACGGCAUGAAAAUACAGAAGCCACAGUCACAAGUGUCCCAUUGAUUUGCACAGGCUUCUGUUGUUGUUUUUACUAAAUUUACUCAAUUGUCAACUUUCCUAUUAUGCAUAGCACGUUACUAAUUUUGCAUAUUGUUGUGUCUGUGCUCUUCUUGGUUAUACUAAUAGAUUUCAGUGUUUGAUUUUAAGGAAAUCUGUGUGUACCUUUGUACAAUAAACACAUUAGGGUCACCACCCUAAUGUAAAAUCUGA